rnacentral:rRNA from 1 species
AGAGUUUGAUCCUGGCUCAGGACGAACGCUGGCGGCGUGCUUAACACAUGCAAGUCGAGCGUAAGGCCCCUUCGGGGGUACACGAGCGGCGAACGGGUGAGUAACACGUGAGCAAUCUGCCAUCACAUUGGGAUAACUUCGGGAAACCGAAGCUAAUACCGAAUACGACCACCUCCGGCACGGAUGGUGGUGGAAAGUUCCGGCGGUGAUGGAUGAGCUCGCGGCCUAUCGGCUUGUUGGGGGGUAAUGGCCCACCAAGGCUUCGACGGGUAGCCGGCCUGAGAGGGUGACCGGCCACACGGGACUGAGACACGGCCCAGACUCCUACGGGAGGCAGCAGUGGGGAAUAUUGGACAAUGGCGAAAGCCUGAUCCAGCAACGCCGCGUGAGGGAUGACGGCCUUCGGGUUGUAAACCUCUUCAGCAGGGACGAAGCGCAAGUGACGGUACCUGCAGAAGAAGCACCGGCCAACUACGUGCCGCAGCCGCGGUAAUACGUAGGGUGCGAGCGUUGUCCGGAAUUAUUGGGCGUAAAGGGCUCUAGGCGGUCUGUCGCGUCGGGAGUGAAAACUCAGGGCUUAACCCUGAGCCUGCUUCCGAUCGGGCAGACUAGAGGUAUGCAGGGGAGAACGGAAUUCCUGGUGUAGCGGUGAAAUGCGCAAUAUCAGGAGGAACACCGGUGGCGAAGGCGGUUCUCUGGGCAUUACCUGACGCUGAGGAGGAAAGUGUGGGGAGCGAACAGGAUUAGAUACCCUGGUAGUCCACACCGUAAACGUUGGGCCUAGGUGUGGGACUCAUUCCACGAGUUCCGUGCCGCAGCUAACGCAUUAAGCGCCCCGCCGGGG